AUGGAACAAUCCAAUCCAGCAGAUCAGGAUGAACUGGAGACAUUAAUGGAGUUGAAGAGGAGAACAAAGAUUGCCAAAUUUAGGAAACAUAAGAUUGCAGCUGAGCAUGUAAAUAAGGUUAAGCAGAAGCUACCAAUUCUUCUAACUGAAGAUGAUUCAGAUCUGGAUGCAGAUGAAGACUAUCUUCAGAGGCUUAAUGAGAUGAGGCAGCAAAGAGAGGAUCCACUCAUUCAUUUUGAUGGAGACACUGAUGUGGAUGAAGUGUAUGAGGAAGAUGAGGAAGGGCAACAUGUGGAGGUGGAGCAACAGGAGCAGGUGGAGCAAGAUGAGCAGGUGGAGCAGCAAGAGGUGCCUACAAAGAAGAAGAAAGCUAGAAAAGGGCCAACAGAGAGGAAUAUGAUGAUGGAGCUGAGGAAGUACAAUUUAUUCUGCCCAAUGGAAGGAAGAGCAGAUCAAUGA
rnacentral:rRNA from 1 species